GACAGAGGGGGCAAGCGUUGCUCGGAAUUACUGGGCGUAAAGGGCGCGUAGGCGGGAUGGCAAGUCGGUCGUGAAAUCCCUACGGCUCAACCGAGGAACGUCGAUCGAUACUGCUGUUCUUGAGGAUUGCAGAGGAGACUGGAAUUCCCGGUGUAGCGGUGAAAUGUGUAGAGAUCGGGAGGAACACCGGGUGGCGAAGGCGGGUCUCUGGGGCCGAUACUGGACGCUGAGGAGCGAAAGCGUGGGGAGCGAACAGGAUUGAGAGUACCCCGGUAGUCCAAGCACCGA
rnacentral:rRNA from 1 species